GUAGGCGAGCAUGUUUCUAGUGCACGGUUUUAGUUAAAGUUUCGUGACUAGAUUACAUGCUCGUCUAUU
rnacentral:pre_miRNA from 1 species